rnacentral:tRNA from 1 species
GGCCUCGUGGCCCAAUGGCAAGGCGUCUGACUACGAUUGCAGUUAAUCAGGAGAUUCUGGGUUCGACCCCCAGCGAGGUCA